UUACUGAGUUUACGCUCUACAACCCUUUGUGAACAUACCUAUAACUGUUGCUUCGGCGGGUAGGGUCUCCGCGACCCUCCCGGCCUCCCGCCUCCGGGCGGGUCGGCGCCCGCCGGAGGAUAACCAAACUCUGAUUUAACGACGUUUCUUCUGAGUGGUACAAGCAAAUAAUCAAAACUUUUAACAACGGAUCUCUUGGUUCUGGCAUCGAUGAAGAACGCAGCGAAAUGCGAUAAGUAAUGUGAAUUGCAGAAUUCAGUGAAUCAUCGAAUCUUUGAACGCACAUUGCGCCCGCCAGCAUUCUGGCGGGCAUGCCUGUUCGAGCGUCAUUUCAACCCUCAAGCUCUGCUUGGUGUUGGGGCCCUACAGCUGAUGUAGGCCCUCAAAGGUAGUGGCGGACCCUCCCGGAGCCUCCUUUGCGUAGUAACUUUACGUCUCGCACUGGGAUCCGGAGGGACUCUUGCCGUAAAACCCCCAAUUUUCCAAAGGUUGACCUCGGAUCAGGUAGGAAUACCCGCUGAACUUAAGCAUAUCAAUAAGCGGAGGAAAAGAAACCAACAGGGAUUGCCUCAGUAACGGCGAGUGAAGCGGCAACAGCUCAAAUUUGAAAU
rnacentral:rRNA from 1 species